UGGGCGCUCAGACUACCCAACGCGGGUAUGAGCAGCACCAACGAGAAAGGAGAUGCAUCACCAAUAGUGUGGUGAUGACUAUCCCCCUCUUUGGAAAGUCUGAACGCACAGUGUUAGUUGGUCAUGAUUUCCACGGCGUGAGAGAGCAGUACCUUGAAAGUGGGAGAUUUCUCAGUUCCCAAGCUUUGGGAAAAGCAAUAAAAGUGGAAAAGCGUUAGUUCUGUGAUUUUGGAAGUAAUAAUUAAAGUUCGUGAAAGUUUUGUGCUGUGUUCUAUUUUGAAAUUACAAUAUUAAACCUCAAGAGUUCGUUGAUAUCACAGAUCAAAUUAUUGAUCUGUUUCCUUCAGAGGAUAGAGAUUACUUUUACAUUCCGUACGAGAGAGGUGCAAAUAAAGAAGCAAUUAGUGCAAGUGGUUGCUUGUACAAUCAUUACAAGUUUUUAAGAAAAAAAUUGAAUGAAGCAAAUCUGCUAAAAGUAACUUCCUUUGUUAGUGAGAAAAGUAGCAGUAAUGAAGAAGAAGAUGACAACACAGACUGUUUAACGAAUGCAGACCCAACGACAUUUUCCAAAUCAGAAAUAAUUUUGAAGUGGACCAGUACAUUUGAUCAACGGAUGAAAAAAAUCAACGUAAAUGACCCGAAAAACGAGAUAUUGCAGAAAUAUCUGAGAAGUUUCUCUUGUUUAAAAACGUCUCUAGGAGUAACAUUGCUCGAGUCAGAUUUUGAAAAGAAAUUGGAUGAGUGCAAUAUAAAUCAAAGUCUUCCUGCAACAAUUAAUGGCC